rnacentral:tRNA from 1 species
UCCCUGGUGGCUCAGACGGUAAAGCAUCUGCCUGCAAUGCAGGAGGCCCGAGUUCAAUCCCUGGGUUGGGAA